rnacentral:rRNA from 1 species
GACGAACGCUGGCGGCGUGCUUAACACAUGCAAGUCGAGCGACGCUCUUCCUUCGUGGAGAUGACGGAGCGGCGAACGGGUGAGUAACACGUGGGCAACCUGCCCCUAGCUCUGGGACAACACCGGGAAACCGGUGCUAAUACCGGAUACGACAUCGAGCGGCAUCUCUCGAUGUGGAAAGUUUUUUCGGCUAGGGAUGGGCCCGCGGCCUAUCAGCUUGUUGGUGGGGUAAUGGCCCACCAAGGCGACGACGGGUAGCCGGCCUGGGAGGGCGACCGGCCACACUGGGACUGAGACACGGCCCAGACUCCUACGGGAGGCAGCAGUGGGGAAUAUUGCGCAAUGGGCGAAAGCCUGACGCAGCGACGCCGCGUGAGGGAUGACGGCCUUCGGGUUGUAAACCUCUUUCAGCAGGGACGAAUUCAGACGGUACCUGCAGAAGAAGCACCGGCCAACUACGUG